rnacentral:rRNA from 1 species
GCGACAGGGAGAAGCCCAGCGCUGAAUCCCGGACGGCUAGCCCGUCCGCGAAAUGUAGCGUAUAGGAGGAUCCAUUCCCGGGGCAGGCCACGCCGCGCCCAAGUCCAUCUUGAACGGGGCUACGGUCCGUAGAGGGUGCCAGUCCCGUAGCGGCCGGUGGCGGUUUCGGGUGGAUCUCUCCUGAGAGUCGGGUUGCUUGAGAGUGCAGCCCUAAGCAGGUGGUAAACUCCAUCUAAGGCUAAAUAUGACCACGAGACCGAUAGCGAACAAGUACCGUGAGGGAAAGUUGAAAAGAACUUUGAAGAGAGAGUUCAAUAGUACGUGAAACCGUCCAGGGGUAAACGGAGAAGAGUCGAAAAUCCGAAAGGGGAGAUUCACGCGCACCGCACUGGCCUGAGCUGACGCAUGUCGUUCGAGACGGCGGACACGCCCUGUCCCGGCUUCGGCCGGCGCUGUGGGGUCCGUCGCUCCGGCUCGCAGCUCGGGCCGCGGUGAGCCGCACUUCUCCCUCAGUAGGACGUCGCGACCCGUCCGGGGGCGAGCCUAACGCUCUUCCACAAGUCUUCAGGAGGCCGGGUGCGUUUCGGCGCAUCCGCUCCUGAAGGGUGGCUAGAGGCAUGGUGGCGGACCGGACGGUGGAAGACGAUGGUGGUGGACCGCUCUUUCGGGAGCGCCUCGACCGAUUGCGAGACUCGUGGCGCGGUGUUCGGUUCGGGUCCCUAGUUGACUCGGCCGGCCGCGCCCGGGGCUGUCGGCGAUCGGGCCCUGAGGCCGUGUUCACUCCACCGGUCGGCGGCGCAGCAGUUUCGAGCACCUUCACCGGCCCGUCUUGAAACACGGACCAAGGAGUCUAACGUGUGCGCGAGUCAUUGGGCGAUAAAACCCACAGGCGAAAUGAAAGUGAAGGAGGGCCUAGCGCCCUCCUAGGGAGGAUGGGACCGGUCGGCGCUCGCGCGCUCCGUCCCCGCACUCCCGGGGCGUCUCCGUCUCAUUGCGAGAGGAGGCGCACCUUGAGCGUACGCGUUGUGACCCGAAAGAUGGUGAACUAUGCCUGGCCGGGACGAAGCCAGGGGAAACCCUGGUGGAGGUCCGUAGCGAUUCUGACGUGCAAAUCGAUCGUUAGAGCUUGGUAUAGGGGCGAAAGACCAAUCGAAUCAUCUAGUAGCUGGUUCCCUCCGAAGUUUCCCUCAGGAUAGCUGGCGUUUAUGAGAUACGAGUCUCAACUGGUAAAGCGAAUGACUAGAGGAAUUGGGGUUGAAACAACCUCAACCUAUUCUCAAACUUUAAAUAGAUGAGAACCGGGGCUUGCUUAAAGUGAAGCCUCGGCUCGGAUCCGAGUGUCAAGUGGGCCAUUUUUGGUAAGCAGAACUGGCGCUGUGGGAUGAACCAAACGCAGAGUUAAGGCGCCUAAACGACGCUCAUCAGACACCAUGAAAGGCGUUGGUUGCUUAAGACAGCAGGACGGUCGCCAUGGAAGUCGGAAUCCGCUAAGGAGUGUGUAACAACUCACCUGCCGAAGCAACUAGCCCUGAAAAUGGAUGGCGCUGUAGCGUCGUGCCUAUACUCUGCCGCCAACGGCAAACCGGGCGUCCCCCGCGAGGGGUAGAUGCGCUGUUAAGCCUUGGCGAGUAGGAGGGCCGCGGCGGUGUGCGUAGAAGGGUCUGGGCGUGAGCCCGCCUGGAGCCGCCGCCGGCGCAGAUCUUGGUUGUAGUAGCAAAUACUCCAGCGAGGCCCUGGAGGACUGAUGUGGAGAAGGGUUUCUUGUGAACAGCUGUUGCACAAGAGUCAGUCGGUCCUAAGCCCUAGGGGAAACCCGAUGUUAAUGGGCGCCGUUAGCAAAAUACUCUCUGUGCGUGCGCGUGUGUGCGAGCCCGCAGGGCGCGAUGAUUUUCGAGGCGAUGAUGAGGUGAGGAAAGUGAUGGCUUGUUUCUCUUGUUUGCCGAGUCGUACCGGCUCUCUCGCUGACGCGCUGACGCUCGGCGGCGCACCUCACUAAGAAGGCGGAAUUGUUUCGUCCUCCGUGGUGGCGGGCCUCUUUCUCCCUUCCGAGGGAGGGGGUCUGGCUCUGGAGGAUUCGGGACGCCGCCACUGGGGUUGUGUUCGUUCGGCGCUGGCCGGCGGCGUUGGGCCGAAUAAGUCAGGUAGACCUGAGUCUUGCGGUUCCGCUUGUCCUCGACACCUCUAGGUCUGUAGUUGUCGCGUCCGGGGUGUGUGCGCGUGCGCGCGCGCGGGACAGCCGAUGGCGCCCUCAACGGGCGAAAGGGAAUCCGGUUCCUAUUCCGGAACCUGGCUACGGAACCGUUCCAAUUCGGGGGCUCUCGGACGAGGGAUCUCGUCGGGGUAACCCAAAAGGACCCGGAGACGCCGUCGGGAGAUCCGGGGAGAGUUGUCUCUUCUCUAUAAGCGUUCGAGUUCCCUGGAAGCCUCUCGCAGGGAGAUAGGGUUUGGAACGCGAAGAGCACCGCAGUUACGGCGGUGUCCGGAUCUUCCCCUCGGACCU